AUUGAACGCUGGCGGCAGGCCUAACACAUGCAAGUCGAGCGAGCGGCGGACGGGUGAGUAAUGAAUGGGGAUCUGCCCGAUAGAGGGGGAUAACUACUGGAAACGGUGGCUAAUACCGCAUACUAUCGCAUGAACCCAUAUGGGAUUAGCUAGUGGGUGGGGUAAAGGCAUACCUAGGCGACGAUCUCUAGCUGGUCUGAGAGGAUGCUCAGCCACACUGGAACUGAGACACGGCCCAGACUCCUACGGGAGGCAGCAGUGGGGAAUAUUGCACAAUGGGCGCAAGCCUGAUGCAGCAAUGCCGCGUGUGUGAAGAAGGCCUUAGGAUUGUAAAGUACUUUCAGCGGGGAGGCGUUACCCGCAGAAGAAGCACCGGCUAACUCCGUGCCAGCAGCCGCGGUAAUAC
rnacentral:rRNA from 1 species